rnacentral:lncRNA from 1 species
GGACAAGUUACUCAACUUCUCUGUGCCUGGGAGUCUUCUUCACCUGUGGAAUACAGGGUGUCACCAUGGACUUGAUGCUGACUUCCAGUGCACCCAUAUCCACCCCAAGUGCUGAGAUGACAGCAUGCCCUAGCACCCAAAACAAAUGCAAGAGUCUGCCUACUUCUCAUGUCUGCUGGACUGCAAGCCUGGACCACAGCCUGGACUGCAAGCCUGGGCUGCAAGCCUGGACUGCAAGCCUGGACUGCAAGCCUGGACGCAAGCCUGGACUGCAAGCCUGGACUGCAAGCCUGGACCACAGCCUGGACUGCAAGCCUGGACUGCAAGCCUGGACCACAGCCUGGACUGCAAGCCUGGGCUGCAAGCCUGGACUGCAAGCCUGGACCACAGCCUAGACUGCAAGCCUGGACCACAGCCUGG